AGAAUGACCGCGCGAACAUGUUUACUAAUUGCAAAGGGGAGUGGGGGUUGCCGUCGGCUGUAAAACCAACCCCGGUGCAGGUCGCGCUAAAGAAAAUUAAAUGAAAAGAGCACGCUGCUGUAGGCCUAAAAAAUGAUGCACCUUAGGCACGCGUCGCCCUCUUUUGAGAAUCAUCCGUUGGCGGAAGACAUUGUCUGGUGGGGAGUUUGGCUGGAGCGGCACAUCUGUUAAGGAUAACACAAGUGUCCUAAGAUGAGCUCAACAAGAAUAGAGAUCUCGUGUGGAACAAAAGGGUAAAAGCUCGUUUGAUUCUGAUUUGCAGUACGAAUACAAACCGUGAAAGCAUGGCCUAUCGAUCUUUUAGACCUUCAGAAUUUGAAGCUAGAAGUGUUAGAAAAGUUACCACAUGGAUAACUCGCUUGUGGCAGCUAAACGUUCAUAGCGACGUUGCCUUUUUAUCCUUCGAUGUCGGCUCUUCCUAUCAUUGUGAAGUAUAAUUCCCCAAGUGUUGGAUUAUUCACCCACCAAUGGGAACGUGAACUGGGUUUAAACCGUUUUGAGACAAGUUAGUUUUAC
rnacentral:ncRNA from 1 species